CCACAUAUUUUUUUCAAAGUUGAU
rnacentral:siRNA from 1 species